CAUUCUGACAUUCAUUCAUCACUCAGUUCACUCAUCCGUCUCUCUUCAUUUCCUCUCCCAUUUGUUAUAUAUUUUCUCUCUUUUCCCAUUCCCUAUAUUUCUCCCUCUCGAAAGAGUGUUUUCAAGGUUUGAGAGAAGCCUUAUUCGGUCACAUUGAGUCCUUCUUGGCUUGGUUGUUCGGCAAGGAAGGAAGAGCAAAGGAAGGAGCAAGCGAGCUGUGCUUCAAAAACCUACCAAAAACAGCAUGCAGUUUCUUCUUUCUUUUAAAUCUUUUACUUUUUCUCAAAUUCAUGAACAUGAUUACAACUAAGUGUUUUGUUUUCAAUAAAAUCAUGAUUACUUAAAUCUGUUGGUGUUAGAAUGCUUUGAUUUUCAUAGUUUAGUUUAUUUAAUUACAUUAAAGGUAUUAUGUGCUUUCAAUCUAUUUACUUAUGCAAGUAAAAUCAUGACUAUAUUUCUUAUGCAUUAUGUAUGUAAAGUAAUGAUUGAAUUAAUUAAUUAAUGUAAUCCAGGUUUUAAUUAAUUGAAAAAAAUACUUGUAUGGUAUAUGUUUAAUC
rnacentral:lncRNA from 1 species